CUGUAAAUUGUAAAAUUUGCCUCAGACAAUCUCGGGACGCCGAGAGAGAAGGCAGCUUGGCCUGGGAGCCAUUCUGAAGGCCUGGGUCGAAAGAAAGAAAGAAAGAAAGAAAGAAAGAAAGAAAGAAAGAAAGGGCAGCCGCGGCUAGAAGGCCCGAAGAGACAGGCUCCGUUUCUGAAGCAGAAAUGGCAAAGCCUUGUGAAACGGACGGAAGAAAUAAAGGCAAAAUUUUUGAAAAUUUCCACAGCUUUUUCUGAAGGGACCAGCGCUGAAUUCAAGUCAACGUGAAGAAAGAAACAAAAGGUCGAGAGACAGAGGACGGAAGA